GCAGCAGCCGCGGGAAUACGGAGAGCGCGAGCGUUACCCGGAUUUACUGGGCGUAAGGGGCGUGUAGGCGGCCUGGGGCGUCCCAUGUGAAAGGCCACGGCUCAACCGUGGAGGAGCGUGGGAUACGCUCAGGCUAGAGGGUGGGAGAGGGUGGUGGAAUUCCCGGAGUAGCGGUGAAAUGCGCAGAUACCGGGAGGAACGCCGAUGGCGAAGGCAGCCACCUGGUCCACUUCUGACGCUGAGGCGCGAAAGCGUGGGGAGCAAACCGGAUUAGAUACCCCUGUAGUCCCUGUCUCUUAUAC
rnacentral:rRNA from 1 species